UCCAGGGCACCGUUGAGCUGUUGCAACUGUUCUGCUGCAGCCUUAUGUAUGUGGUUGAAACCACCUGUACUACUGGAAUGAAAGCACCUUUACGGAAGAUGCAAUGCAAGUUGUAUUAAACACAUGCGUAGAAUGACUUAAGAUUUAUGCCAGUUGCAAAGAAGAAUGUUGGCUCACUAUUUUUCCUCUGGGCAUGUGGAAAUGUAAAUCAGUCCACAUUACUCACCUCGGAGAAGCAGAAGUACGACUUACUACUGUUGCUUGCCUACUUACUCUUAUCAAUUUCUAUGAGAGGUAUGGCUGGAGACCAGAAAACACCAAGAGUAUACACUUUCAGACAGACAACACCAUUUGCUGAUAUCCAGAAAUGGCUGAAUUCAGAGUCACAACCAGAUCCUA